UACGGAGGGUGCAAGCGUUAUCCGGAUUUACUGGGCUUAAAGGGUGCGUAGGCGGGCUGUUAAGUCAGUGGUGAAAUCUCCGGGCUCAACCCGGAAACUGCCAUUGAUACUAUCAGUCUUGAAUAUCGUUGAGGUAGGCGGAAUAUGUCAUGUAGCGGUGAAAUGCAUAGAUAUGACAUAGAACACCAAUUGCGAAGGCAGCUUACUGAGCGAUCAUUGACGCUGAGGCACGAAAGCCAGGGGAGCGAACGGG
rnacentral:rRNA from 1 species